rnacentral:lncRNA from 1 species
CUAGGGUUUUGGUCAUAGAACAGGAGUACGAGAGUACGCGAGGGACGAAUGGUUUCUGUCAUAGAACAUGAGCAAGGAAUCGGUAGAGGAGAGAAUGAGGAAGGGGUAUCAUUAUCAUUUAGUCUUCCUGCGAAGGGUUUUUUUGUUUUUUAUUUAUUUUAUUACACAAAAAACUAACAGAGUUAAAGAUUAGGGGUAAAAUUACAAUAUACUUAGAAAAGUAUGGGCAUUUUUGCAAGGACAAACUUGUUAUUACCGAUCUCAUUUGACACUGCUACCCGCUGUUCACAAAGUAGGGGUAAACUGAGAGUUCGUUUUCACAAAGCAAUGAUAAAAUCGCAAUGGUGAUAAAAAUGAGGGUAAAAUUAC